GAUGAACGCUAGCUACAGGCUUAACACAUGCAAGUCGCAGGGUAACAUGAGGAAAGCUUGCUUUCCUUGAUGACGACUGGCGCACGGGUGAGUAACGCGUAUCCAACCUUCCCAUAACUUCGGGAUAACCCGUUGAAAGACGGCCUAAUACCGUAUGAUAUCGUUUGCUGACAUCAAAUAACGAUUAAAGGUUUAGCGGUUAUGGAUGGGGAUGCGUCUGAUUAGCUUGUUGGCGGGGUAACGGCCCACCAAGGCGACGAUCAGUAGGGGUUCUGAGAGGAAGGUCCCCCACAUUGGAACUGAGACACGGUCCAAACUCCUACGGGAGGCAGCAGUGAGGAAUAUUGGUCAAUGGGCGAGAGCCUGAACCAGCCAAGUAGCGUGCAGGACGACGGCCCUAUGGGUUGUAAACUGCUUUUAUGUGGGGAUAAAGUGCGUGACGUGUCAUGCAUUGCAGGUACCACAUGAAUAAGGACCGGCUAAUUCCGUG
rnacentral:rRNA from 1 species